rnacentral:rRNA from 1 species
GACGAACCGUCCUAACGUUGUUCGGAAUCACUGGGCUUAAAGGGCGCGUAGGCGGGCUGCCAAGUCCGGGGUGAAAUCUUUCGGCUUAACCGGAAAAUAGCCUUGGAUACUGGUGGUCUCGAGGGAGGUAGGGGCCUGUGGAACUUCUGGUGGAGCGGUGAAAUGCGUUGAUAUCAGAAGGAACGCCGGUGGCGAAAGCGACGGGCUGGACCUCUUCUGACGCUGAGGCGCGAAAGCCAGGGGAGCAAACGGG